CGGGCUGUAGCGCAGCUUGGUAGCGCACCUGACUGGGGGUCAGGGGGUCGCAGGUUCAAAUCCUGUCAGCCCGACAA
rnacentral:tRNA from 6 species